AAACGAUUGAAGCCAGUCGUACUGACGGGAAAUCAACUUCUCGAGUGCUUGUCGUUGGUGACGUGGAGCUUCACGGCCUUCGUUGCUUGCGUUAUGGUGCUUUUGGGGUGUACUUUUUCGUAUAGUAGGUCAACAUCGAUUUUGAUCGUCAUAAAAUGAUCGGGGGAAUGUAGCUUUGAUCUUGUAUUGAAGUGUUAUAGCCUUUGGUAG
rnacentral:rRNA from 1 species